rnacentral:rRNA from 1 species
CCGGAAAAAGAGGAGUGGCGAACGGGUGAGUAACACGUGGGUAACCUGCCCAUCAGAAGGGGAUAACACUUGGAAACAGGUGCUAAUACCGUAUAACAAUCGAAACCGCAUGGUUUUGAUUUGAAAGGCGCUUUCGGGUGUCGCUGAUGGAUGGACCCGCGGUGCAUUAGCUAGUUGGUGAGGUAACGGCUCACCAAGGCGACGAUGCAUAGCCGACCUGAGAGGGUGAUCGGCCACAUUGGGACUGAGACACGGCCCAAACUCCUACGGGAGGCAGCAGUAGGGAAUCUUCGGCAAUGGACGAAAGUCUGACCGAGCAACGCCGCGUGAGUGAAGAAGGUUUUCGGAUCGUAAAACUCUGUUGUUAGAGAAGAACAAGGAUGAGAGUAACUGUUCAUCCCUUGACGGUAUCUAACCAGAAAGCCACGGCUAACUACGUGCCAGCAGCCGCGGUAAUACGUAGGUGGCAAGCGUUGUCCGGAUUUAUUGGGCGUAAAGCGAGCGCAGGCGGUUUCUUAAGUCUGAUGUGAAAGCCCCCGGCUCAACCGGGGAGGGUCAUUGGAAACUGGG